CCUACGGGUGGCAGCAGUGAGGAAUAUUGGUCAAUGGGCGAGAGCCUGAACCAGCCAAGUAGCGUGAAGGAUGAAGGUCCUAUGGUUUGUAAACUUCUUUUAUAUGGGAAUAAAGUGAGGAACGUGUUCCUUUUCGUAUGUACCAUAUGAAUAAGCAUAGGCUCACUCCGUGCCAGCAGCCGCGGUAAUACGGAGGAUGCGAGCGUUAUCCGGAUUUAUUGGGUUUAAAGGGUGCGUAGGUGGUUAAUUAAGUCAGCGGUGAAAGUUUGUGGCACAACCCUCACAUUGCCGUUGAAACUGGUUAACUUGAGUAUAUUUGAGGUAUGCGGAAUGCGUGGUGUAGCGGUGAAAUGCAUAGAUAUCACGCAGAACUCCGAUUGCGAAGGCAGCUUACUAACCUAUAACUGACGCUGAAGCACGAAAGCGUGGGGAUCAAACAGGAUUAGAUACCCUGGUAGUC
rnacentral:rRNA from 1 species